rnacentral:misc_RNA from 1 species
GCUAUUUCUUGUUCAGAUGCAGAUUAUUGGGUCGGUGCUACGAGUGAAGAAAUUGAACCUCUUCGCAAGAAUCAGACUUGGAAGCUUGUAACAUUGCCUAAGAGACAAAAAGUCGUAGGUUGCAAAUGGGUGUUUAAGAAAAAGGAAGGCACUCCAGGGUUUAAAGCACCUCGAUAUAAGGCACGAUUGGUAGCAAAAGGCUUUACUCAG